GCUGGAUUGGAGUAAUUGGUUACUAUUAAUUAUUACUACAACAACGCCGCAUCUGCGUGAAAGAUGUAUUUGUGGACUUGUUGAGAUAUCAUAAUAUGAUACUUAUACUACCAAUAAAUAAUAUCACUUAUGAAUGUAGAGAGCUUUCAUAUGGAUAUUAAUCGACUCGGAGAGCAUAAGCAAAUUAGUAAAAUGAUUCUAUAGAGAGAAAGGAAGUAGAUAGUCAAAUAUCAUAAUAUGUGUUGUAAAUUGCAGAUGACCUUGCACUAUCUUUAUAGCUUCCAGGGAGUCAAGAGAUGGUUGUCAGCAGUGACUGGUUUAAAAUAUGCGAAUGAAAGCCUAAGUAGUUGUUGUAAAGUUGUGAAUUUUACAUGGUUCUAUAAGCGACGCAGUCGGUUAUUCAGUAUUGAUUUUAUAGGUCAUCUGUUCUGAGGAGU